rnacentral:snRNA from 1 species
GCGCUUGCUUCAGCAGCGCAUAUGCUAAAAUUGGAACGAUAGAGAAGAUUAGCAUUGCCCCUGCCCAAGGAUGACAUGGAAAUUCGUGAAGCAUUCCAUGUUUUU